CACAACUGUGACUCGCUGUCUGUUUGUGGUUUUUAAUUACCGCCACUUGAUGUGAGACUUAACGUUGAGAUGUUUCUUCAGGGGAAAAGAUAAUCGCAGAGUUUCUUUAAAAGGAAGAAUUCGUGGAACACAAUAGAGGCCACUUCGCAGUUGCAAGGCUGGGAUGUCAGGUCUGUGUGGACUUUUAAAUUUGAUAUCCAACAGACUUCAAACCAAGCUAUUCUCAGUCCGUCCCUUUGGUGAAACCUCAAGUGGUUCACAGUGCCAUAUUGAAGGAUGUUUAUGGUGGUGUCAGCUGUCAGAGGUGUAUAUCUGACUGGACUCUAAUGCACAUUGAUUUUUUGUCAAAGCAAGAGGAAAGAAAUGAUAGGAAGUUGCUGUUGACUAUGCCCUUAAAAUGCCCAACACAUACAGAACGCCUCUGGCUGCUGUGGCAACGAUUCCCACCUGCUGUUGCUGCUGCUGCUGCUGACGGGGCAUUGCCACUGUGGAGACUAGGAUCAAAAGCUAAGUGCAGAUAUUUUAAGAACUUUGAAAACUUACUUUUAGAAGAUAAAAGAGUUGUACCUAAAGGGUUGGAGUAUGAGAAACUUUGGAGUCAAAUAUUGUCUUUCUUACUAAAACAGUUUUUCAUAUCUGUGAUUGUGCCAGCACUUCCCUGCUGCUUUCACCCCAUGUUAGACAUGCUUAUGUUCGUAAAAAAAACUAUUGAGAGAUUCUUGUUCUCUGUUUCAAGUGCCUUUUAGACGGGAAGGGAGUGAUGAUCUUUAUACCAUGAGGAUAACAAGGCAGUAAUCCCUCAGUGCUUUUUGUAGUAAAAUAAGGAAGAGAUACUUUAAUACCAAAGGAAAAGACUGCUUUUCUUAGUAGGAAGAAAAUGAAACUAUGUUUACAUCAAGAAAUCAUUAUGGAAAAGAAUGGGAUCAUUUAUUUUUAUCCAUAUAUUAUUAUUAGUAGAAUAUGCACAUUUGUCUUACCUGUCCAGCAGGAGGGUAAGCAGUAUGCACUUGGUGUUUAGCUUUGUAAAAUAUUGAUUUUGGUGGAGAGAGUAUUAUGUUGUGUGUUUGAUAACUUGAACGUAUUUGUAACCAAAGUGUCCUUUUGAAUAUGAGGUAGCUCACAUGUCCCGACAGAUUUGCUGCACUGAAACAAGUUUUCACCGAGUAGUCUGUGCCGGACCACUGUUCAUUGGGGACUACAAAUUAGUUUCAGAUACAUUGUUCAGUUUUCAGCCACAUGGCAUAUGCUCUCCCAGGCCAAUGGCAUGGCUAAAAUGAAGAGAAGAAACGGGGGAGGGGAUGCAGCAAAUAUUUUUUCUAAGAUGGUCUGCAUUUUUUAAAAGUUAUGUGAGUUUCAUUUUGUCACAUGUGGCUGGGAAGAGAUGUGUUCAAUGUCUUUAGAUAUAAUAGGUGACAUCGUGACAUUUCUUGCAGCAGUAUGUUUACUAAAUUUUAAGGGAAGAAGAAGAGACACUGUAAACUGGUAGGAAGAAGGAGAGGUUAAUUGGUGGGGAGGGGGUGGGGGGUACAUUUUGCUGUAGUACUGCUCCACUUUAACGCGCUCAUAUUCCUUUUUAGGUGGACUGGUGGGGUCGUCUGCAGCCCCUGUGGAGUCCCACAGCUACAUAGCCUGACCAAGCCACUCAGCCUGCCAGGCAGAUGCAACGCGCCAACAAGACUCCGAGAUGAAGAAGGAAGAUCUCACCAUGUUUAGAUAUAAGGAUUUUUGUUCUGUACUACUGCUACUGUAUAACGUCGCCCUCGUGUCUCCUGCCCCUCUUUUCUCCCUCACUCCUUUGCUCUCCUUCCCGGUAUGCUCUCAUCAUUCCAAUCAGAUUGGUGCGGCCUGCGGGGUGUUGGGCCUCACCGAAUAGGCCUCACUCGCUCGUCUUAACCGACUCACUCUCGUUGUUUAGCCCCCC